GGGCAUCUGGCCGAGUGGUUAAGGCGCUGUGUUUAGGCCGCAGUGGGAAACCGCGCAGGUUCGAAUCCUGCGGUGCUCA
rnacentral:tRNA from 2 species